rnacentral:lncRNA from 1 species
GCUGAGGGAAAGGGAGAUGAUGGGGACAAGGAUUAGUGAUAUAGUAUGGAAGUAGCUUGGAAGAAGGACAGAACUGAUGAUGCUGAACUUAUCACAGGGAGGUGUCCAAUAGGAGUAGCUUCCAAUCCAGCUUUACUUCCAGAAUUAAAGCCUUGUUGUCCUUGGAUUCCAUUUUCCUGCCUAAAUCUGGGAAUGUAUCUACCACAGACUCAAUGCCAGAGAUGAAGAACCAGAUCGCUGAUGAGGUCUUCAACAGCAGUGCCGUUCUCGUUGAACCAGUCCUGGUGGUUGCGCUGCUCUGGGCCUAGGACUGCCUUUGAUGUUUCCUUCACUGCGUCUCUGAACUGGUUCCAUCUCUCAGCUGAGCCUCCAGUGAGCGGUCCCCUAGCAGACAGCCCGCUGUCCAGGCAGGACUGGAAUGCCCGCAAAUAAGAUGGAUCUCCAAGACGACUCACGCUGCAAAAUGUGCG